rnacentral:lncRNA from 1 species
AGACAUAGUGCCACUGUCAUCCCUGCUGGAGAAGGUCCGAAGCACCUCCACCUCUGUGCUUCCAGAGGGGCACUGUGGUGGCCACUUAAAAUGCUCAGGCUAUACCAUGCACUAGAGCAUCUACCUGGGCAAGGGAUAUGCUGUAUGACACUCUCCUGAUGCUGGGCAUGGCUGUGAGCCAAAGCACCCAGGCAGCCCUGCCAUCAGAAGGGUAAACCACGGACACCUGAUGCCUUCCUGAAGGAAGAGCACUACGCCUGCCAAACCAUCAAGCGUUGAUGCUCCAGCGCCUUCUACCCGUGGUUCUCCAGCCUCAGCAGAAGAGAGAGAAAUUGAUGACCCUGUCGUUGUAGCAUCCCCAUCACCCAGCAAUUAAUUUUAGUUCAAUGCUUCAAACGCUCUUCAGGCGCAGUGUGCGUUCAGCUGUGUCAGCUAAUGCAAAUGGGGGAUCUCAGAAGUCUUAAUGAAGUAACUAUCCCUGAACACUGGGAUCAAUACUCAGCAUCCAGCUGUCAAAUCAACACCAAGCGUUUCACUCGUCGCCCAGCCUAGAGUGCAAUGGCGCUAUUUCGGCUCAUUAUAACCUCCGCCUCCCGGGUUCAAGCAAUUCUUCUGCUUCAGCGUCCCAAGUAGCUGGGAUUACAGCCGCCUCCUGGAGCAGAUUGUUAAGCUGAUGCGAGUCUGGGCUCUGCCUCACCACUUGUCUCAGAGACAGAGUCUUGCUCUGUCACCUAGGCUGGAGUGCAGUGGUGCCAUCACAGCUCACUGCAGCCUCGACCUCCCCGUGCUCAAGUGAUCCUCACACCUCAGCCUCCCGAGUAGCCGCGAUCACAAGUUAAACAAACACAGUUCUUUACAUCAAUGCUUCCGUCCCUGGCCAUCUGGUCUCCUGUCCCCUCCAGACCCAAAACCAUGGGCUGGGCUGCAGCAAAAUGAGGGUGUACUCAGUGCACUGAGGCCCAUGUACCAUGAGAGAUGGAGAAAGCCUUGGCCGGAGUUUAAGGAUUUGGGGCUGGGCACAGUGGCUCGUGCCUGUAAUCCUAGCACUUUGGGAGGCCAAGGCAGGAGGAUCACUUGAGGCCAAGAGUUUGAGACCAGCCUGAGCAACAUAGUGAGACUCUCAUUUCUAAAAAUAAAAAAGUUAGGCCUGGCACAGUGGCUCAUGCCUAUAAUCCCAGCAGUUUGGGAAGCUGAAUCAAGAGGAUCACUUGAGGCCAGGAGUUUGAGCCCAGCCUGGUCAACAUAGUGAGACUUUAUCACUACAAAAAGUUUUUAUUUAUUUAUUUUUUUUGAGACAGGGUCUCGAUUCAUCACUUAGGCUGGAGUGGAGUGUGCAAUCACAGCUCACAGCUCACAGCAGCCUCGACCUCCUGGGUUCAAGCCAUCCUCCCACCUCAGCCUCCUGAGUAGCUGGGACUACAGGCAUACACCACCAUGUCUGGCUAAAUUUUUGUACUUUUUGUAGAGACAGGGUUUCGCCAUGUUGCCCAGGCUGGUCUCUAGCUCCUGGGCUCAAGCAAUCUGCCUGCCUCAGCCUCCCAGAGGCCUGGAACUACAGGCGUGAGCCGCUGCUCUUGGCCAUUUUUAAUUUAAGAGACAGAGUCUCGCUUUGUUACCCAGGCUGGAGUGCAGUACCCUUACUGCAGCCUUGAACUACUGGGCUCAAGCCAUCCUCCCACCUCAGCCUCUCAAGUAGCUGGGACUACAGGUGUGUGUCCCCAUGCCCAGCUGACUGAGCUACCACCAUGCCACUGCAUGCCAGUUGUGACAAAGUGAGACCCUGUCUCUAAAAAAUAAUUAAAUAAAA